rnacentral:tRNA from 1 species
GUUAAGUUAGUUUAUCUAAAACGUUAAAUUGUGGUUUUAAAAAAAAGUGCCAAGCUUACUUAACU